rnacentral:lncRNA from 1 species
GGAGUGUGAUAGAUUGGAUAAAUGUUGACCAUUCUGGAUAUAUCCCGUCUGUGAGGUAGUACGCCAAUUUAUACGGAUGCCCGUUGACCACGUUCUUUACCCUGGGGGCACGACCUUCUAAAAUGUCAUCAAAAACAGGAGACCGAUCGAGGACAUUGAGAUCGUUUAAGGUACCCGGAGGACCAAAAAAGGCGUGUCAUAUCCAAAGAUCUUGUGAAGCUACAGCCUCUAAUACAAUUGUCGGUUUUCUUGAUCCACGUG